rnacentral:tRNA from 1 species
GGGCUCGUAGCUCAGCUUGGCUAGAGCGCCUGGCUUUUAACCAGGAGGUCGUGGGUCCGAAUCCCGCCGAGCCCG